CGGCGAGCGAAAAGGGAGGAGCCCAGCGCCGAAUCCCCGACCUCCGGUCGCGGGAAAUGUGGCGUUCAGGAGUGAGCGUGCCGGGAUCGGAACGGGCGGCAAGUCCCCCUGACCGGGGCCUGUCCGUAGCGGGUGCGAGGCCCAUAGCCGCCAGUCCCGUCUCGGAUGCGAUCUCCUUGGAGUCGGGUUGCUUGGGAGUGCAGCCCUAAUCGGGUGGUAAACUCCACCUAAGGCUAAAUACCGCCGUGAGACCGAUAGCAAACAAGUACCGUGAGGGAAAGUUGCAAAGAACUUUGAAGAGAGAGUUCAAGAGUACGUGAAACUGCUCAGAGGUAAACGGGUGGGCCCUCGAAAUCCUGUGGCGAGAGGAUUCAGUCUGGCGCCGGGGACUCGGAGUCGAAAAGUCGAGCAGGGCUUCCCGAGACCGGGGCCGUUCGACACCGAGACUUCCUCGGUUCCAGACGCAUUUGUCUCUCGUCCGAAGGACGCUGCAGCCGGUUGGGCAGUGCAAGCGCGUCGGCCUGAAGGGGGAGAGACGGCAGGUUGCCGGAGGCGUGCCUCGUGCGCGUCGCCGGUUGAUAGCCUUCUCCUCGGUGGCUCGACGCCCGACCGUGGUGUCGCGAGGCCCUCACGGGCCUCGACGUCUCCUACCCAGAGUAGCAGGGCAGACGGUCGCAGGCGAAAUCCGCCGUCCCGUCGCACUCCCUCGGAGUGGACGGGCGAACGGAGAGCGCCGCUGGCGAUCGCGGACCUGCGGGGGACAGGAGGCUCGCAGCGAGUAGGUCGGUCACCCACCCGACCCGUCUUGAAACACGGACCAAGGAGUCUAACAUGUGCGCGAGUCAAUGGGUCUUGAACAGGCCCAGGGGCGCAAUGAAAGCGAAGGUCGACUUCGCGUCGACCGAGUCGGGAUCUCCUCCUCUCGAGGGGGGGCGCACCGACGACCCGUCCUAUUCGGCUCGCCGUUUGGGCGGAGUUUGAGCGUACACGUUGGGACCCGAAAGAUGGUGAACUAUGCCCGGACAGGACGAGGCCAGAGGAAACUC
rnacentral:rRNA from 1 species